UACGAAGGGGGGCUAGCGUUGUUCGGAUUUACUGGGCGUAAAGCGCACGUAGGCGGAUCGAUCAGUCAGGGGGUGAAAUCCCAGAGCUCAACUCUGGAACUGCCUUUGAUACUGUCGAUCUGGAGUAUGGAAGAGGUGAGUGGAAUUCCGAGUGUAGAGGUGAAAUUCGUAGAUAUUCGGAGGAACACCCGUGGCGAAGGCGGUUCUCUGGGACGGUACUGACGCUGAGACGCGAAAGCGUGGGGAGCGAACAGG
rnacentral:rRNA from 1 species